AUUCAUUAGGCAUGCUAAUGACAUUGUAGCUGUUUUUUUCUUUAAUCGUGGAGACAUCUUUUAAAAUGAGUCUACAGGACAAAUUACAUGCAUUUUAUGAAGUAGAACGUUUUUUUCCACAAUUGAUAUUAGAGGGGGAAUUAAACCUGGUGUUCUACUAAGUUAGUGCUAUUAAGCUUAGGCUACAUGAUUGAUAUUAUGCCUUGGUUUAUGCGAUAGAUUUAGAUUUUUUUUAAAUUAUUUGUGUUUGACAGAGCAUUCAAGUUCAUUUCAUGGUAGUGUUUGUAAUUUACCUAGUUUUAAUCUGUAGCCUAACUAUGUUUUUACAGGUGUUCCUGGACAGUUUUGAAACCGAGAUGUCUGAACGCCUCAAAUAAUCAGCAGUAAAGGUAAAUAUUCUUCAUCCAGGACCUUGUCCCAUUACUCUUAAAGCAUAACUCAAGCCAAAAUGCAACCUAGGGUCUUUUUGUGAAUGUACCUGAGUCAAACUUUCGUUUGAAAGCAUAAAUAAGUCAGAAGCGCCACCAUUAAGCUUGACUGUAUUGUCGUUUCUGGGUCAAAUGCCAUUUUGAAUGGGAGUCGUAGGGGCAGAACUAUUUUGAUACAUGAUGAUUUUGAUUCAUGCAUCAAAAUAAUAGGCUAGUGCCCCUACGACUCCCAUUUAAAAUGCCAUUUGACCCGAAAACGAUAAUAUGGUUGUAUUGAAAACAAAGGAAUCUAAGGUAAUCAAAUGCAGAAAACAGGGUGGUUGCACUCAUAUCGGUGCCAAAGUGCACAACGCUUUAAGGAAAGACUACCUGGCCAGGUCUACCCAUACCAGGAUGGCAAACAGAUGGUGUCAAUACCAAUUUGACCCAUAAAAAGUAAAUGGCAAAUAGACAACAGAGACAAAUUCUCUAAUACCAAGGUCAAUGCAUUUGACUGCUGUCCAGCCCCGGGUUGCCACCGAAAACUUUAUGCAUCUUGGACUGGAAGAUGGUGUGCUAGUAAGGAAGCUAGCUACCACAGCCUUUGCCACCACAUCUCAGUGUUGGGAGGGAAGUUCACUCACUGCACAACUCUACCAGCUGUACCUUUCCUCCUCAGCCAUGAUCCGUAACCACCAUGGUUUUCUUUCUGGGCCAGAAGACUUUGCAAACAAAUAAGCAAUAAAUGAUCAUGCAUUACAAAUUUAGCCAUGUUAGACUGUUAAGCUGUUGGCUUGUAGGCUGGGUCUCCAGUAAACAAUUUCAAGCUUAGAGAGCAAAUUCUCUCACCUAGGAGGGUAAACAACUUUUGUUUUUCAUGAAAUCUGCAUUUUGAAUUGAUGGUCUACCAAUGAGGCUGUAGAGUAUCGCGACACAAUAGUGGCAAAAAGCACUUGCGCGAUGAAACAUGCAUUCGGGUGUAUUAUAUUAUAUAUAAUUUCACACACAUAGAUAUUAAAUGUGUGCACACAAAUUCUCUCUGCGCGUGCGCACUCAGAGGAAACUGCUCCCCAAGCAUGGAA